CCUGAUGUUGUUUGUCUUGGGUCCAAUACAUGUUCUAACAAGACGAAAAAUAUGUCCAUUAAAUCUGAGCAUAUUUACAACAAGAGCAAUCAAUUUGAUUCCAAUUACAAAGUAUUUGGCUCUGGUUUCAAUAAUUCUGAAGCAAGCUCUUCAGGUGGCAGAUUGCCCCCACAUGGUCCAAGAAGACCUCUUAAGCCAUCUAGACAUGCAAGUGAUCCUUUUGUACCAGUUAGACGGCGCUUUCUAGUUUCUGAACAAGAAAACAAGUACUUCACUGCAAUUUGUUGUCUCGCUCAUACUAGAUGGCAAAGCUUGUUUGCAGUAAAUAUUGACAAUGUUCGUAUCACAUUUUCCAAUUUUGGAAAUUCUUUGAGGAUUGGUGGUGAUGUUUCAAACUAUGUGAUAUCUGCCUUUUGUCGACUGAUGUUCCACAACAACCAUCCAUCUAAAUCAAAGAAGAAUUAUUUCUUUUCUUCCAUUGGGUAUCAACUUUUGAAGAAGAUUGAAUGCAUUGAAAUGGUCAAAAUAAAGAAAUGUUUUGAUGGUGCUGCUAGUGCUAGAAAAUUACAUCUUUGCGAUAUGCUUUUUUUUUCCCCAUUAAUCAUCUUGACCACUGGUUCCUGUUCGUCGUUGAUAUAAAGGACCGAAUGCUUGUUUUCCUUGAUUCAUUGCAUCAUAAAAGUGAUCCAUACUUUGAUCCAAUUAUUCCUAUGAUGAUCAAGAAUAUUCAGACAUUGUGGGAUAAAUUUGAGGGCACUGCCAUAGAUUUCAGCAAGUUUAGAGUAUUUUUUCCGCUUGUUCCGUGACAGGAAUUCAGCUGUGAUUCUGGCAUUUUUGUAAUGAAGUGCAUCGAACUUUGGUCUCCGAGGGUUGUAUUGCCAAACGAGUUCAGCAAAGAUGAUAUCAAUAACAUCCGUGUUCAAUACACAAACAAGAUAUUCUUCCACCACAAGAAUAUUAUGCUUCAAUCUGAAAGUGAACAAUUGGUUGUUAACUGGGUUGAAAAUGAAGAAUUCCAAUAUGAAGAUGAAGUUGCCACGGACUAAGAAUCAGGCUACCAAUUUUUGCUUCUCCUCCUGAAAUCAAGCCUUUAAUGUGACAUUUCAUAGGACUGAUAUUAUAGUUACGUAAAUAUAGCAGUCAGUAGACAUAGUGUUGCUUAGAGACAUGUUAUCUCUUUUUGUAACGCCACCUAUCCUCUGAUUCUGUUGAGAUCACUUUUUCAUGUUGCUGGCCAUAUUUGUCAGUCCUCAUAACAUACAAUAUAAAAUUUUCACAUAAAUAGAGGGUGCUAACUCAAGUAAUCCCAAAUUUGAUGGCAUUGGCAUUACAAUUGUUUUUGUGCAAAUGCUUAAGUACUAGUAAAUUACAUUUUUUUUGUUGGAUGAUACUAUUACAUAGUCGCACAGAGAUAUCCUCCUGAUCUUCUCUUCUUCUUUUUUCAACUAUUUCUUCUUUGUUUUGUUACUGCUCUCCAACUCUCUGUUCUUUUGUUGCUUUUGCCCUGCUGCCCUGUUUGAUCUCUGUUGGUUUUUUGCAUGGUUCU